rnacentral:misc_RNA from 1 species
UAACUGCGCGUCGGAAUGUGAACUGCAGGACAUAUGAGCAUCGACACUUUGAACGCAUAUUGCGGGCGCUGGCUCGUCCACCGCCCAUGUCUGGCUCAGGGUCGGUUUUGCAUCCCUCCAAAGUUUUUCUUUGGCAUUGGGCUCUCGCUCUGCCUCGGCACAGCGUGGCUUCAAGUUGCGAGCGCGUCUGACUGUGACGUCCGCUCUGACUCUUGGGCUUGUCCCGGGUCUGGCGAGUCGCGGUCGACGUGUGCCGGGGCGAAUCUCUCGCCUCGGCGACCACUCAUUUUUCGACCUGAGAGCAGGCAAGGUGACCCGCCAAAUUUAA